AGUGAACGCUGGCGGUAGGCCUAACACAUGCAAGUCGAACGGCAGCACAGUAAGAGCUUGCUCUUACGGGUGGCGAGUGGCGGACGGGUGAGGUAUACAUCGGAAUCUACUUUUUCGUGGGGGAUAACGUAGGGAAACUUACGCUAAUACCGCAUACGACCUACGGGUGAAAUCAGGGGAUCUUCGGACCUUGCGCGAUUGAAUGAGCCGAUGUCGGAUUAGCUAGUUGGCGGGGUAACGGCCCACCAAGGCGACGAUCCGUAGCUGGUCUGAGAGGAUGAUCAGCCACACUGGAACUGAGACACGGUCCAGACUCCUACGGGAGGCAGCAGUGGGGAAUAUUGGACAAUGGGCGGAAGACUGAUCCAGCCAUACCGCGUGGGUGAAGAAGGGCUUCGGGUUGUAAAGCCGUUUUGUUGGGAAAGAAAAGCAGCAGGUUAAUACCCCGCUGUUCUGACGGUACCCAAAGAAUAAGCACCGGCUAACUUCGUG
rnacentral:rRNA from 1 species